rnacentral:lncRNA from 1 species
AUGGAGGCGACCUUGGAGCAGCGCAUAGAAGAUACAAUGAAGAAUCCCUCCAUUGUUGGAGUCCUGUGCACAGAUUCACUUAAUCUGGGUUGCCAUGGGACCCUGUCAGAUGAGCAUGCUGGAGUGAUAUCUGUUCUAGCCCAACAAGCAGCUGAGCUAACCUCUGACCCCACUGAUACUCCUGUAGUGUGUCCAGCAUCAGAUAAUGGGAACAUUAUGAUCCAGAAGCAUGAUGGCUUCACAGUGGCAGUACACAAAAUGGCCUCUUGA